rnacentral:rRNA from 1 species
GGGCCCGCACAAGCGGUGGAGCAUGUGGUUUAAUUCGAUGAUACGCGAGGAACCUUACCAGGGUUUAAAUGCAGAACGACAGGGGUGGAAACACCCCCUUCUUCGGACGGACUGCAAGGUGCUGCAUGGUUGUCGUCAGCUCGUGCUGUGAAGUGUCGGGUUAAGUCCCAUAACGAGCGCAACCCCCAUUUCUAGUUGCCAGCGGUUCGGCCGGGGACUCUAGAGAAACUGCCAGCGUAAGCUGUGAGGAAGGUGGGGAUGACGUCAAAUCAUCACGGCCCUUACAUCCUGGGCCACACACGUGCUACAAUGGUGGGGACAACAGGUUGCCAACCCGCGAGGGUGAGCCAAUCCCAAAACCCCAUCUCAGUUCGGAUCGCAGUCUGCAACUCGACUGCGUGAAGCUGGAAUCGCUAGUAAUCG